rnacentral:rRNA from 1 species
AACGAACGCUGGCGGCAGGCCUAACACAUGCAAGUCGAACGAACCGUUUACGGUGAGUGGCGCACGGGUGAGUAACACGUGGGAAUAUACAUUUCGGUAAGGAAUAACGUUGAGAAAUUUACGCUAAUACCUUAUAAUGACUACGGUCCAAAGAUUUAUCGCCGAAGGAUUAGCCCGCGUUAGAUUAGGUAGUUGGUAGGGUAAUGGCCUACCAAGCCUACGAUCUAUAGCUGGUCUUAGAGGAUGAUCAGCCACACUGGAACUGAGACACGGUCCAGACUCUUACGGGAGGCAGCAGUGAGGAGUAUUGCGCAAUGGGGGAAACCCUGACGCAGCCAUGCCGCGUGAGUGACGAAGGCCUUAGGGUUGUAAAGCUCUUUCAGAUGUAAAGAUAAUGACGGUAACAUCAGAAGAAGCUCCGGCUAAAUUCGUGCCAGCCGCCGCUGUAA